GGUCAUGAGUGUCAGCGACAAGCCCUGGCUCGCUGGCCGGCAACCCUCGCGCCGCGGUGGGGUGCCCCAGGUGACGACCGGACCGGAGACAUCUCGGUAAGCGCGAAGG
rnacentral:ncRNA from 1 species